AGUGAACGCUGGCGGCAGGCCUAAUACAUGCAAGUCGAACGGCAGCACAGUGGAGCUUGCUCCAUGGGUGGCGAGUGGCGGACGGGUGAGGAAUACAUGGGAAUCUGCCCAGUCGUGGGGGAUAACGUAUGGAAACGUACGCUAAUACCGCAUGCGCCCUUCGGGGGAAAGUCGGGGACCGCAAGGCCUGACGCGAUUGGAUGAGCCCAUGUUCGAUUAGCUAGUUGGCGGGUAACGGCCCACCAAGGCGACGAUCGAUAGCUGGUCUGAGAGGAUGAUCAGCCACACUGGAACUGAGACACGGUCCAGACUCCUACGGGAGGCAGCAGUAGGGAAUAUUGGACAAUGGGGGCAACCCUGAUCCAGCCAUGCCGCGUGAGUGAAGAAGGCCCUCGGGUUGUAAAGCUCUUUGUUGGGGAAGAAAAGCAGUUGGUUAAUACCCGAUUGUUCUGACGGUACCCAAAGAAUAAGCACCGGCUAACUCGUGCCAGCAGCCGCGGUAA
rnacentral:rRNA from 1 species